rnacentral:tRNA from 1 species
AGCAGUUUAGCUUAACGGUAAAGCACUUUGACUGGAAAUUAAAGGGAUGUGAGUUUGAGUCUCUUGGCAGAUU